rnacentral:rRNA from 1 species
GACGAACGCUGGCGGCGUGCUUAACACAUGCAAGUCGAACGGAAAGGCCCUGCUUGCAGGGUGCUCGAGUGGCGAACGGGUGAGUAACACGUGGGUGAUCUGCCCCUUACUUUGGGAUAAGCCUGGGAAACUGGGUCUAAUACUGGAUAGGACCAUGCUGUAGGUGGUGUGGUGGAAAGAUUAGUUUCGGUAAGGGAUGAGCUCGCGGCCUAUCAGCUUGUUGGUGGGGUAAUGGCCUACCAAGGCGUCGACGGGUAGCCGGCCUGAGAGGGUGGACGGCCACAUUGGGACUGAGAUACGGCCCAGACUCCUACGGGAGGCAGCAGUGGGGAAUAUUGCACAAUGGGCGCAAGCCUGAUGCAGCGACGCCGCGUGGGGGAUGACGGCCUUCGGGUUGUAAACUCCUUUCAGCCAUGACGAAGCCCUUGUGGUGACAGUAGUGGUAGAAGAAGCACCGGCUAACUACGUG